rnacentral:rRNA from 1 species
AGGGUUUGGAUCCGGCUCAGAAUCAACGCUGGCGGCGUGCCUAACACAUGCAAGUCGAACGCGAAAGCGGCUUCGGCCGUGAGUAGAGUGGCAAACGGGUGAGUAACGCGUGGGUGACCUACCUUUGGGUGGGGGAUAACGUUUCGAAAGGAACGCUAAUACCGCAUGACAUCCCGCUCUUGGAUGAGUGGUGAUCAAAGCCGGGGAUCGCAAGACCUGGCGCCUGUAGAGGGACCCGCGUCCGAUUAGCUAGUUGGCAGGGUAAUGGCCUACCAAGGCGACGAUCGGUAGCCGGCCUGAGAGGGCGGACGGCCACACUGGGACUGAGACACGGCCCAGACUCCUACGGGNAGGCAGCAGUGGGGAAUUGUUCGCAAUGGGCGCAAGCCUGACGACGCAACGCCGCGUGGAGGACGAANAUCUUCGGGUUG